AUCCAGCUGGCAAGUCCCAAAUAGAACGAAACGCGCGUCAAACUGGAU
rnacentral:hammerhead_ribozyme from 1 species